CUCGGGUUAGCUCAGUUGGUAGAGCGCUCCACUUGUAAUCGAGAGGUCCCGGAUUCGAUACCCGAACCAGGCG
rfam:Ixodes scapularis strain Wikel colony gcontig_1108378926398, whole genome shotgun sequence.